GAUGAACGCUGGCGGCGUGCCUUAUACAUGCAAGUCGAGCGAAGCGGGGACGGGUGAGUAACACGUGGAUAACCUCCUAUAAGACUGGGAUAACUUCGGGAAACCGGAGCUAAACCGGAUAAUUAUCACUGGAUCCGCACUGCAUUAGCUAGUUGGUCAGGGAACGGCUUACCAAGGCAACGAUGCAUAGCCGACCUUAGAGGGUGAUCGUCGACACUGGAACGGAGACACGGUCCAGACUCCUACGGGAGGCAGCAGUAGGGAAUCUUCCGCAAUGGUCGAAAGCCUGACGGAGCAACGCCGCGGGAGUGAUGAAGGUCUUCGGAUCGUAAAACUCUGUUAUUAGGGAAGCGGUACCUAAUCAGAAAGCCACGGCUAACUACGUGCAAGCAGCCGCGGUAAUUC
rnacentral:rRNA from 1 species